AGAGUUUGAUCCUGGCUCAGAGCGAACGUUAGCGGCAGGCUUAACACAUGCAAGUCGAGCGAGAAAGGGGCUUCGGCCCUGAGUAAAGCGGCGGACGGGUGCGUAACACGUGGAUAAUCUGCCCUCUAGUGGGGAACAACAGUCCGAAAGGAUUGCUAAUGCCGCAUGUCACGACCGGGUCUCCGGGCCUGGUCGGAAAAGAGGGCGCCCGCAAGGGGCUCUCACUAGAGGAUGAGUCCGCGGCCCAUCAGCUUGUUGGCGGGGUAAUGGCCCACCAAGGCUUUGACGGGUAGCUGGUCUGAGAGGAUGACCAGCCACACUGGGACUGAGACACGGCCCAGACUCCUACGGGAGGCAGCAGUGGGGAAUAUUGGGCAAUGGACGAAAGCCUGACCCAGCCAUGCCGCGUGAGUGAUGAAGGCCUUCGGGUCGUAAAGCUCUGUGGGAAGGGACGAAAAAACGGGUGUUAAUACCACCCGGCUUGACGGUACCUUCUUAGCAAGCACCGGCUAACUCCGUGCCAGCCGCCGCGGUAAUAC
rnacentral:rRNA from 1 species